CUGAACUAGUGAAGCAGCCAUUGGCCCAGCCAGCCUGGAGAGGUGAAAAUAGAAACAUACACACUGGCUCUUAGGCAGCCCAGAAGCCGCAUAACCCAUUCCCUCUUUCACUUCAUUGUCCGAAGCAAGUCAUACAGCCAAGACUAAUUUCAGAGAGAGAAAGAAGUACAAUCUUCCCACGUACCCAUGAAGAGAGGGGCUCUGUGAGCAUCAGGAGACAGCAAUAAUGUCUUCCACAGUGCCUUCUGAGAAAAUAGAAGGUUUGUGUUUUCAAGCCACAGGAGACAAUUAACCCGUAACAGAGUUCUAAUCUGUGGGCAGGGCUUCUAAUUUAUGAAUCAUUUAAGAUUAUUUUUUUCUGCA
rnacentral:lncRNA from 1 species